rnacentral:rRNA from 1 species
AACGAACGCUGGCGGCAUGCUUAAUACAUGCAAGUCGAGGGGCAGCAUGAUUGUAGCAAUACAAUUGAUGGCGACCGGCAAACGGGUGCGGAACACGUACACAACCUCCCAAUAAGUGGGGAAUAGCCCAGAGAAAUUUGGAUUAAUACCCCGUAACAUAACGAUGUGGCAUCACAUUGUUAUUAUAGAUUUUUCGCUUAUUGAUGGGUGUGCGGCUGAUUAGAUAGUUGGCGGGGUAACGGCCCACCAAGUCUACGAUCAGUAGCUGAUGUGAGAGCAUGAUCAGCCACACGGGCACUGAGACACGGGCCCGACUCCUACGGGAGGCAGCAGUAAGGAAUAUUGGACAAUGGACGCAAGUCUGAUCCAGCCAUGCCGCGUGAAGGAUUAAGGUCCUCUGGAUUGUAAACUUCUUUUAUAAGGGACGAAAAAAGGCUUUUCUAAGUCGUCUGACGGUACCUUAUGAAUAAGCACCGGCUAACUCCGUGCCAGCCGCCGCGGUAACAC